ensembl:lncRNA
GGGGUACUUCCUGUUGUAACCAAGCGCGAAUUAGCUUAUCGGCAAUAUAAAGACGGAGAAGGAUAAGGACGCGGAGAGAAAUCACCACAUAAAUAUGUAUUUUGCACCUAGCAGCCGCUUUGAAAGAGGCACAAGCUCUUACGGUGAAAUUUGAGGGUUUAAUGCCAAUAAACCUGAAAAAUCAUCGGUGUCAUCCUUCAAUCAAGGGGGUAUGCUACAUUUGCAGGCUGAAGGCAGCUGACACUAACAGACUUAACAAGCUCAUCAGGAGAGCUGGCUCUGUCCUGGGGGUUGAGCUGGAGUCUGUGGUGGAGAUGUCAGAGAGGAGGAAGCUGAGGAAGCUGCUCAGCAUCACAGACAACACCUCUCACCCCCUACAUGCCACACUGAUGUCCUGUCAGAGCUCCUUCAGUCACAGACUGAGACCACUGAGAUGCACCACAGAACGACACAGGAGGUCUUUCCUACCUGUGGAAAUCAGACUGUACAAUUCCUCCCUCUGCUGCAGGAGGGAUACAUGAUCAACGGACUUAUUUCCAUGUGCAGCAUCAUCAGACUUUUCCUUGACAGUCUCACUAUCUGUAUUAUCAUUGUUCACGUGCAAUAUUUCUAUUCAUCUGUUUACUUUUAUUUUCAGUUCACUUCCUGUUUAUCUGAUUCUUGUUGUUGCUACAGUUUACAUUUUGGAAGUG